rnacentral:misc_RNA from 1 species
GAUGAAGAACGUAGCGAAAUGCGAUAAGUAAUGUGAAUUGCAGAAUUCAGUGAAUCAUCGAAUCUUUGAACGCACAUUGCGCCCGGCAGUACUCUGCCGGGCAUGCCUGUUCGAGCGUCAUUUCAACCCUCAAGCCCUGCUUGGUGUUGGGGCCCCACGGCUGCCGUGGGCCCUGAAAGGAAGUGGCGGGCUCGCUACAACUCCGAGCGUAGUAAUUCAUUAUCUCGCUUAGGGCGUUGGGCGGCGCUCCAGCCGUUAAAGAACCAUCUUUAACUCAAGGUUGACCUCGGAUCAGGUAGGAAUACCCGCUGAACUUAAGCAUAUCAAUAAGCGGGGA